ACGGAAGGCAGCAGUGGGGAAUAUUGGGCAAUGGGCGAAAGCCUGACCCAGCAACGCCGCGUGAAGGAAGAAGGUCUUCGGAUUGUAAACUUCUUUUAUGAGGGACGAAGGACGUGACGGUACCUCAUAAAUAAGCCACGGCUAACUACGUGCCAGCAGCCGCGGUAAUACGUAGGUGGCAAGCGUUAUCCGGAUUUACUGGGUGUAGAGGGCGCGUAGGCGGGGAUGCAAGUCAGAUGUGAAAUCCAUGGGCUCAACUCAUGAACCGCAUUUGAAACUGUAUCUCUUGAGUGCUGGAGAGGUAGAUGGAAUUCCUAGUGUAGCGGUGAAAUGCGUAGAUAUUAGGAAGAACACCAGUGGCGAAGGCGAUCUACUGGACAGUAACUGACGCUGAGGCGCGAAAGCGUGGGGAGCAAACAGGAUUAGAUACCCUGGUA
rnacentral:rRNA from 1 species